GAGCGAUUCCCGGUCGGUCCCGGGGCCGCGGGGGCGGGCGGGGAGCGCGGAACCGCGGGGAAGCCGCCACAGUGCCCCGGGAGCCAGCCGCUGACCGGCCCCGCGCGGGGGCGAGGAGGGAGAAGCGGGGCUGCCGGGAGCUGCUCACCCCGGCUGCGGGGCCCCGCCAGUACCGGGCGGCCGCGGGCGGGCCCCGCGGGGCGCGGAGAGGGUCGAGAUCCGUCCGCUCUGGCACUGCCCCGGCCGGGCACGGCCGGCCCUUCCCCCGGCCCCCCGACCUGCGGCGGGCAUUGCGCAGCGCCUGCCCCGGUCGGUAGCCCGGGCCGUAUCCCGGCCCGCUGAGCUCCUUCCCGCCCGAGCCUCCUCGGCAAGGCUGUGCGUCGCCCUUGUUGCUUGUAGGGCAGCGCCGCGUUUUGGCAUCAGCCGCGGCUUGUUUGACGGGUUUGGAUGGGAAACGUGACGGGAGCAGCGGUGUCCGGCAGCCAGAACCAAAAUUAACGUGCUCCAUCCACUGUAGCCGCAGAGGCAAAGCAGCGCGACGGGGUUGCUUAUUUGGUGCAGCUGUUCCCAUACCACUUCAUUAUUGCUUCCUGGACAUAAAGAGUUUCCAGUGCUCGAAUAUAAGCAGACAAUACGAGGUAAGAAAUACCAGCACAAGUUGUUGUGCAGUAACGCCAGUAACCUACUAACAGGAACAAUAUAGUUUGUCCUAAAGUAUUUAUUUUGUGCUUAUUUAGUGGAGAAUGAGAUGGUGCACGCCAACACUUGUGGAAUCACCCAUGCCAGUGAUUCAAUCUCUAGUUUGCUUGGUUGCUAAUCUGAAUUAUUUUCUCAGUCAGAACAGUACAGAAAUUGAGGCAAAGCUACUUAAUGAAGCUGCCCGUUUAAUUAGGCGCAAAUGACAGGAAAAGUUCUCAUCCUUGACUUUUUCCAUAAAUACCUCAAAACUCAGAAUUUAAGUCUUUAGAAAAAAGCCCUUGGAAAAGCUGAAUGUUUUAAUAAAAUGCAGAAACCUCAUCAUUGGUUUCAAAUAGACAAAUCAGCAUGAUAUCUUUAGCAAGUAUACAGUGAAAACCAAAAAAGCUACCUGAAAGCCCCUCUCAGCAUACCUUAUGUUCUGCUCUCUGCCUUUACCUUCCCAUACUCCCACAUUGUAAGAAAGGGAGUUUUAAGAGUUCCUGGGAGAUGAAAGUUGAAUUAAUUCAGGUUAAAGAGCUGAAGGUACAGCUCCCAUCAAGACUGCCAUGACUACAGCCUGAUCUACUGAGACAGUAGAAAUACUUUUGCACUCUCUCAAUUUUGCAGUUUUCCCAUGGGGGAAAAAGGCUGGGGGGAGGACAUGAUAGAGGGCUGGGUAAACAGGUUCUGUGGGUAUGGGGGAGAGGUGUGUGGUGUUAUUAUCAGGGAAGGGGAGGGGGCAGGGAGAUAGAGGUUGCUUAGUCUGUUUCAAGAUAACCAGGUCCUGUGGUCUUGUAAGGUUCUUCAGGUAACUACCCAAUGUCUUAACUUCUAUCUAGACACAAGCAGAAGUGCCUAUCUUCAGCACUUGUGUUUUCGUCUAGGUAGCCCUUCUUGUAUCAUGUAACCUGUAGUAUUCUCCAACAGUUUCUCUUUUAAGGUGAAGUUUUAUUGCAUUAAUCUAAUCUCAAAGUUACAAGGAUUACGAUAAUGCCAGCAGCGGCCUCUGUGUAUUACAGUAAAGGCCUGCAAUGAUCAUAAAAAGCAAAUUCAAUUACUGCUAUAAUGUUCAUAGCUGAUAACACCUUUGGAAAUAGAGGCAAAGGCUAAUGACUACUGGGAAGCUCUUUCAAGAGUGUUGGCUAUUACUUCCAAUGUCUCUGUUGACCAAAUCAUAGGCAUAGGCUGUUGGAUGUCAUCAGCCUUCUGCGAUGCUGUCUGUAACAGGAAGGUACCAAUAUGCUGUACUACACUUCUUUAGGAAAAGAAGCAAUUCUUCACUCACCCAUUACAGUCACUUGAAAAAAAAAAUACUGUGUGUGUGAUUCAGUAUUGAAUCGUUCAUGGUGUACAAGACUGUAGCUACUGUAACCAAACAUGCCCAAAACCAGAUGAACAUCUGAAAUACAUUUAUUUCUGCAAGGUGAUGAGUGCUUUAACAGAAUAAGGUCUAGAGCCAAACUAAAAAUCUCAAGGACCAAUUACAUGAAAAUUCUGCACUGUGUUUGACAACAAAAACAUAUUUCCCUUGACAUUAAGGCAAACUUGACAGGUAACUUUUCAAGCAGAAGCUAUAGUAGUGUGUCAUUCAAAGUAAUAAGCAGAUGGUGUAGUUUUCAAAAGGGACAUGUGCAAGUAUUCUGUGUAAUCCUGGAAGAGAUAAUGCCUAUAUUUGUCCACUAGUGAUGUUAUGUCAUUGCUGAAGAACUGAAAGAUACAGGUUUUAAGCACACCUUAGUCUGGAAGGAUUCAGAUUUGUAUCUCUUAUACUUCAGUUACUUCAAGCUGUACCACAACUGUGAAGAAGGGUGUAGUAACCCACAGUAUCACUCCUGGUAGAACUGGCUCUUCCUCAGUCUGGAAUAAAGGAGCCAGAAGAAGAGAUACCUUUGUGAUUCAUCAACUUACACAAGAGUAGGAAGAGCUACAUUCUCUUUGCUCCUGUGGUUGUGUAUUAAUUAGGCAAUCAUUAAGCUGGGGAGAAAAAAGUAAAACAAGAAAGUAUUUUUCCACUUUUGACCUAAAUCUUGUACCUGUCAGCUUUCUUGGUAAGGUCUUUAUUUCAUGUAUCUUAAGUUACUGCUGCAGGAUGCUGUUACAUGGAUAGGAUGGAGGGGACUAAAUUCUGCUUGAUAAAGUACUAAGCAUUUUGUGUAACUUUCAGUAAUUAGGGAAGGCAGGAGUAUCUCUGUAUUGGGCUUCACUUUACCUACCUACCAGAGAGUCAUGGUUAUGCAUGGCAAAGAUGUAAAUCAAUAUAUAGUGGAAUGUAUUACAGCUGUGUUCAAGAUUAUCAUAGAAUGAUUGCCUACGAGAUUGCACUUUUGAGUAGAUUAUUUCCAUGGGUAUGCAGUGGCUGUACAUGCAGUUUCUUUAAGUACUAGGCAGACUUUUUUCUAGAAAAGAUCGCAUUUUAGCAACAAGAAAAGGUGUGUCUGUCUAGAGAGGGCGGUGCUUCUGCUGUGCUCUUGAAAAAUCUCUGUGCAUUAAAAACAAAGUUUAGAUUGGUUUUGUUUCACACUCUCCAGUAGGAGAUGAAAAUGAAGUCUCAGGUAUGCCAGUUUUAUUACAGCGUUGUUGAGCAAGGCAGAAAAUGGUGGGAAAGAGGAAAAGAAAAGCAAUCUGACAAGGCAUAGAAGAGAAAAGAAUUGCAGCAGCUACAGAGAGAAAACUAAACUGAGGUACUGCAUUGUAAACAUAAAAUUUAUCCACUUUAUCAUCUUCAUAACAUCUUUUUAAUUGAACAGUGGGGGGGCAACACUGUUUACAGAACAUAUUUGAAUCCUGUAUUUUGAAGGUAUGUGUUGCCUCUAAGCUCAUAACAUUCCUACACCUUAUAAUUUAUGAACACUUGUAUUGUUUUAGUGCAUUUUACAGUUGUAUUAUCAGUAAUUGAUGCUUGUCCUAGGUCAAUAAAAGAAGCCAACUAAUCUCUUGAAACACACCGUACACAGUGUUUUCCCAGUGUUUCUAACCCCAUGCACAGCCCCAUGGCUUCAGUUAGUGUGCGAGGAUAUGACACUUCCAUCUCUGCAGUUACAAAAUUACUACCUUAGCUGUCUAGCUCUGUGCUCACACAGGGAGGAAUUUCAUAUGGCUUCUGGCCUGUCACUUUUGGUAGCAAUAAGUGAGCCAGCCUGUGCCCCACAUUGCAAAGUGGGAGUAGCAGUGAGUGUGUGUUGCUGUAAAUGCAGCCCUGAUCUGUGGGGCACUGAACUGACCAUUGCUAAAUAUAAUACCUGCCAGUGGAAGUCCAGCUAAUGCACAUUCAAGUUUAAAAGAUUACCGUAUUAUCAUAUCUGGAAAUUAAGAAUAUUGAGGCAUCUUGGCUAUUAUUUCAGACAUACUUGGGGUUUUUUACCUUCUGUCUGUUUUGAACUAGAUGCCUAAGUUUAAAACUAUCCAGGAUAACAUUCUGCAUAUUAAUUGUUGCAGUCAUCUCAACUACAGUAGUGCUCUCAGCAGCUUUUUAAAAGUUGCUACAUGUAACUAAAAAUACAAUGUCGAAUGACAUACUUAUGUGUAAGAUAAGGGGGGGCUGAGCUCUUUCUUCAGCUCCAGAUCUACCCCACCCCGAACUGGCCACAAACUAAUUACUAUUUUCCUAUAUCACAAGGAAAGCAAGUUUCGACUGAAACACAAUAGAAUUUAAAAUGCAGUUGAAGCAUUAAUUUAACUUUUCCUAACGUGUGAAAUGUGAAUGCAUAUGUAUAUUGACUUACACUGUGGGAUUGCUAGUGAUGUGUUGCAUAUGGUUCUUAAUGUUCAGUACUUAAAGAGCAGCAUUUCUUACAAAAGGAGCAUAUAUUUAACUGGACACAAGACAUCUAAAAUUAUAAAAAAACUUUAGUCUUUUUUAAAACUGCAGUAACAAGCAAGAAACAUUUGUAUUGCUGGGCCUUCUAAGAAAAUGUAAUUAAUCAGUCUGAAAAGGCCAGAAUUUUAUUUUUUACUAGAAGUCUUCUUUUCCUAUCUGCUCAAAAUACUUUAUAUUUUCCAAGUCUUUAUUAAAUGUAAAUCUUUGUUUUAUUGGUGAAGAGAAAUAUGUGGAGCUACAAAGCUGUGAGAAAAGAAAGGGACUAAGCAGUAUGAAUGUUGAAAGCUUCUGGAGAUGAGACAGAGUUGCUCAACAGUGUUCAUCCAAAGCAAAGGACAGAGCAGUGCUACAGUGGUUGUUGAUUACCCACACAAAGACCAUUGUGCUUCUGUGCUGUAGUAGCUCAGAGGCUCUUUUUUUAUCUGUCCAUUGCUAUUUGUGCCUUUUCUCUAAAAGGAAACAACAGCGUUCAAUUUCUUAAUAUUUUCUCAUGGUCCUUUUUCACUUUAGGAAGCCUAAACUUUGUUUUGAUUGUGGAUGACUCAUUGUCUCCCAUUUGUUCCUCCUACCCACAGUCUUUCUGUUGAGUGUGGGAGAUAUUUCCUCGAAUAUAGUAGCCACAUAUAUUUGAAUUAUCAUAUGCCCUGGAACCCAUUUCACUGUUCUCUACUCUUCAGAAGCUGUGAAACACUUUGUAGUUGAAUACUUCAAGUUGCUUGGAUGAAAGGCAUUAUGAAAGUGCAGAGAAUUAUUGCUUAAGCACUCAGAUAAAUUCAGGAUUUCCUCAUAGAAACUGGAAGUAUCCCAAAUCUCAUGCCAUCUUCGUUGGAAUUUGUAGGCUGGUGCAUCAUAAGUCCCUGUUUGACUGUCACCAGAGCUCAGAGGCCAGGUCAUAACAAUCAGUAAAACACGACUCUUGGGCUCAAAGCCAAAAGGUGAACAUCACUGGAUUUUUGCUUAUCUAGGAGAUCUGGCUUGUUUUGAGCUGCAGUCACUUCAUACAAGAUGGUAUCAUCCUAUAUAGCUAAUGCUGGAUCUGAUUAUUGUUUAAAAUGAGUUAAUUGUUUGAUCCUAGUAAGUCACUGUUACAGGUUUAUAAGCACAAUAAAGGAUAGGGUUCCCUUGCCUUGUGGUAUUCCACUUGAAUCUCCAGAAGUUCACUUUAAUCUCAUAGUUUCUGUAUGGCAUCUGCCUGCUCUGUGCAGAUGUGUCCUACACCUUUUGGAUGUCUGGAGUGGCCAUUGCAAACUGUUGAGCCAUCAGCUACAUCUCACUGUAAACAUACAGAAACGUUUUCUAUUAACCACUUCUGCUCUUGGCGUAGUUUGAACAACAGCUUGGGUUCAGGAUUUUGACAAGAACCAAAUUACUUUGUUGAAGGUAAUGCAGUCAUUCCCUAGCUUUGCCUUUCGGAAGUGGGUUAAUAUUUUACAUUCAUCUAGUCAUUGUGUUGGCCAGACCACAGAGUAGAGGCACAAGGGAAUAAGCUGAAAAGUUCGCUGUGGUGUAGAGGCAAAAUACAUGCAAAAAUCACUACUAAAUUUGCAGUGUCUGGAAAUUAUGCUUUACACUGCUGGCCAUUCUCAAAUUCUUACAGCUUUUUGUUACUAUUCUUAGUGUGAAAUGUUUUGUGCUUGGUCUCAGAUUAUGACUGAAAUAUAGGGAAGGGAAAUACAAGGCAUUUCUUCUAGAUUCAAUUUACUUCUGUAAAGAUCCCGUUCAUGUGAGUCUAAAUAUUCCUGUUUGUUUACAACAUGAGACAUUUCCAAUAGUGUACAACUUUUCUUAUAAUUUGUAAAAACUUUUAAGACCCUUCUCUAAUAGGCAGCUUUUUAUUAUGGAAGUUACUGUACAAUUCAUAAAUAAGGGUGAUCACUGACAUGUUAACAUUAUCUUUUAUGGUAUUGUAUUUGUUUAAAAAAGAGUAUAUGAAAGUUUCAUGGGCAGUUCUUCACCUUUUAGGUAUUUAAGUAACUUGUCAAAUUGUUAAAGAAAGGUUAUGACACUUCUUUGAUUGCAGGUUUUUGUUUUGACAGAACAGGUACAGCAACUGUCUCUGCUUUAAGCAUGUGCACACCCUACACACCUCAAAUUCUGAUAGGGCUAAAGAACUGUUACCCUGUCAGCAGAGCAGAGAAAUGCAAAAAUCAGUUUCCCAGAGAGUAUACUCUGCUAUUCAAUUUGCAUAAUAAUACUGUUUGUAUAUGUAUUAACAAAUAAAUACUUGGUCUGACAGCAUGCUCAAAAAACAACAGGUUGUGGGGGCAACUAUACAGGAAAAAGAAGGUACUGUUAAUUUUUGUUGUAAUGUUUUGAUUAAAGAAGGCCAACAUGAAAACAGGUAUUAAGUAAUGCAGAUUAGACAGCCUUCAUUCUUCCCACGGUAGAAAGGGCUGUAAAGUUCCUGUUACUUGGGAGGCUGGCAAACCAUUUCUCUGCUAGAGGUGGAAGGAAGGCACUGCUUGACUUAAAGCAUUUCCCCAUCUCUAGAAUUUUUCUACUUGGUUUUAAGAAGUCAUGACCUAGCCAAUUAAAUGGCCAAUUUUCAGGCCAGAAGGUGGUCUUCCCUUUAGCAAGUCAAUUAAAAUAUACAUCCCUACUUGGUUUUCCUUCCAGAUAGUCUAUUUAUAGCUGUCCAUCUGAUUCUCAUUACUAGAAGCAUAAUUGAUCUUUUAUCCCAUUUUGAAGUUUGUAUGCACCUGUCUUACAGGUUCAUAGCAAAAUCAAUUACCCCUCUGGCUACAGACACAUCCUGGUACUUCAUUAGGAGUUCAUCAGGGUAGGCGGAGUCCUGCCUGUCAGAGUGACACCAGGUGAUGAGUGGGGGAGUAAGAGCAGCUUGCACGCUCGUGCUUGUACCUGAUGUCACUUUGGUGUGGUCACUGACACACGGUUUUGAGGAGGUCUGGUAACAAAAACCAAAAACCAACCGACCAAAAAAUCCCACUUUGGCUGAGUUCAUUUAAUGAGGAGACUGAAAUAGAGAAUAAUUUGAAAACAGUACGCUUGGACUUUCCGGUUAUCACAACUAGAUAAUAGAAGAUCAGCACUGUAGUAAGAUGAGUGAUUAUUAUGUGACUGAAAUGACCAUUUUGCAAAUAGUAUUUAUGUAAUUUUGCUGUAAUUCAAUUCAUCUGACUGAUGUGGAGUUUGAUUAAUUCAGUAAGUAACACGUAUUUCAUUCAGUUUGUCCUCACAAAAAACUGCUGUUUUGGCUGUUUAUGAUCAAGAAUUUUGUUUUGUGUGCAAUCAUUAUUUGUGUCUGGUAAAAGACUUUAGUGGUCUUUACGCCCUUUUGGCUGAAAAGAAUACCUGAAAACAGUAGUUGUAGAUCAGAAGGCAUUGUAUGUUGGUAAUAUGAUGAAAUCAGUCAAAAUUAAUUUGUCUCAGAUCAUAAAAUAAAAAAUAAUGUAUUACACAUUCUCUCAUUUUUAGAAAUUAAAAUAUAUAAAAACAAUUUGCAGAAUCCUAAACUAUUCUGUGACUGUUCAAUUGUGAAAGUACACUAAGUCCUGAAUUUUAUGCGUGGUCUGGUUUUUUAUCUGUAAUUUUUUGACAUCGUUGUUUGUUAGAAAUAGUGGAGUUUUAUAUGUAAAUAUAUACAACCCGUGGCCCAAGUUGUAUGGAUUUGUAGCAUGCUUAAAGCUACAUCAUUAUGUCAUUACCUCUCAUUAAUUGUCAAAUUACCUAAAAUUGCUUUUCAUAUAACCUCCUUGUCCUUUUAUGUAGAUGUUUUAAGUUUGCAUGUCAGUGUGUGGACCACAAGCAGGUAGAGAAAUUUCUCCAGCUUCCUAAAGGUGAAGUAUUUUUCUUCUCCUCUGGCAAAAUGACCUGAUAGAAGCAAGCAAAGCAGGCUAAAGCUCGCAAAGGCACAUCCUUUGCAAAGCCGGGUCAUGCGCAGAGCACAGCCAAGCAGUGAGACUGAGAUUGUAUUGACAAGAACAAGAUGAAUGGCCCCCUGGAGACUAUGGGGUUUGUAUGCUCGUUUCCACCACCUUUUCAUCCUUUUGUACCCCCUUUCAGUUCAUAUGCAGAUUAACUCAAACCAAGUCCACACUAAAUACUCUUUUUCACUUUAGUUUUGGAAGGUAGGUGGAGGAUCUAAAUAUUUAUGAGGCUUUUUUCCUCUGGUUUAUGAUGCACUCUUGUUGAAUGUUGAGGAAUUACGUUAAUGAAUGCAUGCCUGCACACACAGACACAGAAACCAGGCAAAAGGAAAAAAAAAAAAACACACAAAGCAUUGUCAGCUCUAGUGUCGGCACUUACUAAAACAGUUCCCAUUUAAAAAAAAAAAAAAGGAAAGAGAUUUUAAAUCCAUUGCCAGGAGAAAAUAAAUUGUAUGGCUGAGCACAAAAGAAAGAACAAAGUUUCAUCUUUGCUUUCCUCAGCUGUAAAUGAAACUCUUGUUUCAGCUCUGAAUAAAAUUGAAAUAAAACAUGUUAAUUGAAAAAUGAGAGCUUGUCUGAAGUCUUAACUGGAUUUAUGUUUUCAUUAAUAAAGACCAAGCUUCAGUCCUGUACAAGUUUCCUUUAACAUCAGUAGUAAUAAAUAUGGUAUUUUUUGGUAUGAUACAAGGUGCAGUUAAGUAUACUUUAAUUAGACUUACAAGUCACAUAAUUGAAUGUCGCUGGUUUUGCCAUGAUUUUGCUGAGUUCAGUACACUUAGGAGAGUUAGUUUUUAUGAGACGGGUUUUUAUGAAAAUUGAACUUUUUUUAUUAAAUAAAAUAUACCAAGAUUAUAGCCAGAUAUACUAGAAUAUUAAUUUAUUUUCAGAAUGGUUAGUCAAAACUGUAACUUAAGUUACAGUUAAGUGUUAAGUACAGUUAAGUGUUUUCUAUAGAUGGAAGAGUAAAUGGCAUUAAAAUACUAGUACUGAAAUAUGGGCAUGUUAAUUCUUUUAAGACAACAUUAUCAAAAAGAGUCGACUCUUCAACCUAUAAUUAUCUUUGCCUUCCUUGCACCCCUUUUUAUUCUCCAGUACACACAUAGCUGUGCGAGAAAGGGACACAGCUCACACAAGUGGGACAGUAAAUUGUUCUGCAUUCAGGAAGCAGAACAAGAGAUUUUAAAAUGUGCUUUUGUGCUAUCCAUUUAAAAACCUACUGAAGCAUUUGCAAAAUACCAACUCUUCAAGUGCAGUAGUAUUUCUCUGUCUAGACUCAGUUAUUCAUAUUAAUAAUAUGCAUAUCUGAAGUCCAUAAAACAUUGUCGUAAUAAAUACAUUUAUCUUUUUAUGGUACUUUGUUUUCAAGGUAUUCAGUUUCAUAGGUAAUUAAAUCCAGUAAAGUCACCUGUAUUUCAUUUGUUCUAAACUUAUUGUUUACAAUCUUAAAACACUGAUUUUGCUAUUUUUAAUGAUUUCGCCUGUGUUACUUAAGGGUUAAGUGAAACAACUUUGUUUAGCAGAUCCCAAAACCGUAAAGCUGUAUAUAUGACCUAAUAAAAAAUUAGUAUUUAACAAUUGAAA